UACGGAGGGGAGCUAGCGUUGUUCGGAAUUACUGGGCGUAAAGCGCACGUAGGCGGCUUUGUAAGUUAGAGGUGAAAGCCUGGAGCUCAACUCCAGAAUUGCCUUUAAGACUGCAUCGCUUGAAUCCAGGAGAGGUGAGUGGAAUUCCGAGUGUAGAGGUGAAAUUCGUAGAUAUUCGGAAGAACACCAGUGGCGAAGGCGACUGACUGGACAAGCAUUGACGCUGAGGUGCGAGAGCGUGGGGAGCAAACAGG
rnacentral:rRNA from 1 species